UUGAGAUUUGGUUUUUAUGCUUAUCACAUUAUUUUAGGCAAACUGACAAUCUCAAUUCUCUGCCUCUCUCUUAUCGGAGAUAUCCGAGCACAAAAUAGUCAACUGGGACUCGUGUUGCCUCAACACUCAGGCCCGGACUGCAUACAUGCAUGCUUGAAAAAUUUGUCGAGGCGAAUGAAAGGUACACAUUUUUAGGUUUUACAUCAAGUAUGAUCGCUUAUGUGAAUAAAACAAAAACGACUUCUUACAAACAAACAAACAAUUUUAUUUGCCUAUCUUUUUUCAACAAUGCACUUUUGAAGUAAAUUGCUCUCUGCCAUAAGCAAGAAAGUUUCUAAAAUUUUGAAAACAAUGUCUAAAGUUCCAGUAGCUUACAGGGCUUCUGAAUUCCAGGGGCCCCAGCGUCCAUCAGUUUAUGACGUUUAAAAAAUGAUUCGUACUGAGAACCUCGUUUGAAGGGCCCCUAGAGGCUGACUGGUAUAUUGCUACAUUCAAUUUCGGUUUUUCAAGAAAAUUUUUCUAUACUUCAUUCGUUUUAAAGAGCCCCAGUCUUUUCCAGUCUUACAGAGCCAGUGAACGACAGGGGCCCCAGCGCCCAUCGAUUUAUUAUGGUAAAAAAUGAUUCUUACUGGAAACCUCGUAUAGAAGGGCCAUAGUGAUUAAAAACUGCUACUCUACCACAUGAAAUUUCAUCAAAAGGGGCCCCCUACCUUGAGGGCCCACCGGGCAUUUGCCCGGUUGCCCGGUGGGCCAGUCCG